rnacentral:rRNA from 1 species
GGGCACGCGGCUGCAGCCUAACACAUGCAAGUCGAGCGGUAGCACAGAGAGCUUGCUCUCGGGUGACGAGCGGCGGACGGGUGAGUAAUGUCUGGGAAACUGCCUGAUGGAGGGGGAUAACUACUGGAAACGGUAGCUAAUACCGCAUAACGUCGCAAGACCAAAGAGGGGGACCUUCGGGCCUCUUGCCAUCAGAUGUGCCCAGAUGGGAUUAGCUAGUAGGUGGGGUAACGGCUCACCUAGGCGACGAUCCCUAGCUGGUCUGAGAGGAUGACCAGCCACACUGGAACUGAGACACGGUCCAGACUCCUACGGGAGGCAGCAGUGGGGAAUAUUGCACAAUGGGCGCAAGCCUGAUGCAGCCAUGCCGCGUGUAUGAAGAAGGCCUUCGGGUUGUAAUAG